CAGUAAAAUUUGGAAGAUUUUUUUCUUGAAAAAUGUUCAGAAUUCUUAACUUGAGAACAAGGAAAUUCAUACUAAAGGAAUUUACUUCAAGUUCACCAAGGUUGCUCUUCAGUCAUAAAGAAAGAUACAGUUACAGGAAGGAAUCAUUUCUCCAGAAGAGCACCUCCCCCAGGACUCCCCACCAUCUGCUCUUGUCAAAUCCUCUUAUUGUAGAUUUAUGAAAUCUCCACUGAGACAACCCUUUCAGGAUGGAAUAGAUCAUUCUAAAGUUGGGAGAAUGUAGGUGCAAUCUAGUACUGAGACUGAUGGAUGGACAAAUGAUGUUUUGGAGUCCUUCCAAGACCCAAAGUACAAGUGCAGAAGAUGGUUGUCCCAUACUUAGGAACAUUGCUUCCAUGGAUGGAAAUGGGCAAACUGCUAAAUCAAAGCUCAGACUUUCCUCACAAAAAGAACUACUGCAGAUGGGAGGAUUUACCCAGCGUGGAAGUGACUCCUACAUUGCUAGUAGGAAACUUUGUGAAGUCAUGUGAAAUUAUAUCCAAAUGCUGGAGAAAACUCAGUGGCUGCCUUAAUGUUGCUCCAAACACUAACCUUUUGACAUUGGGACUGUGUGCAUGGAAAGGCAUGGUCUCUGACCUCCAGGAGUUCACCCUCUCAAAGACACAAGCCAUAUGCGUGUGUCUGGAAAACAUGUUUAAUCGUAUGUUGUUUCCCCUCCCUCUUUCCUCUAGCAUCAAUUGAGAUCAACCAGAAUGCAAUCAUCUGGUGAAAAAAAAAUCAGCUCUUUUAUGAGACUAGGACACAUUCUGAGAAUCUCCUCCCUACAAUGUGAAUCUCCUGCUGUUGAUUUGUGGUUGACUCGUCCCCACAGUCAGGCAGGAGGUGAGAGGAGGACCUGCUGGUUUCCACAUGGGACUCAGCCACCACUUCCACCAUUGGAGACUGGCCAAUAGAACCCAGGGGUGGCCCCUACUGCUAUAGGAGCUGCAGAGCAGCUGGCCCAUUCAGACAGAGUAAUGACACUCAGUGUUUUCUGCCUCCCCCCUCUACUCCUGGGUUGUCACCUCUGUGUUUCCAUCUCUGUCUCUCUCUUGUUCCUAAGUGAUGGAUGGAUGGAGAUUCAAAUUUGGGAGUAUGUUGUUUAGAACAACAUAUAAUUUCUGUGUCUAAAAUAAUAUGGUUCUAUAUAUUAAAUCUCUCCCCACUAGCCAAAGACCUCCACUUUCUAUACAUUCUGCAGUGUUUCAACUAAAACCAAUACUAUUAAAGCAAAAUAAAUAUAGGCUGGAUUCAA